CAGAAUUAAUUAAGAGCAUAUGGUGGAUGCCUAGGGUUCCGGAGGCGAUGAAGGACGUGGCGUGCCUGCGAUAAGCGUCGGGGAGGUGGCGAGCAACCUUUGAUCCGGCGAUGUCCGAAUGGGGAAACCCGUUUGCGUAAAACGCAUUCGCCGAGCACUCAUUUCUGUACUCAAAAAAGAGGCCACAGGGAAAACCUGUGGCAGGGGGGUCUAACCAACCAGCGGCCUGGGAAGUCCGGUAGGACCGGGCCAGGCUAUCGGUGGUUGUAACCAAACCCCCUUGGUUGAUCUUAGCAUAGUUUAUAUUUAUAAAUUUGUCAAGUGUAUAGAAAUGAGUGCUUGGCGCGAUACCCGCUGAAGUGAAACAUCUCAGUAAGCGGAGGAAAAGAAAAGAAUGUCAGUUUUUAGUUUUAGGUUACGGCCUAACGGCCUCCUAAGUUUAAGUUUUUAGUUUAAAGUUUAAGUUAACGCUAACUUAAACUAAUAACUUUUAACUUAAACUUAAAACCUUUAACUAUAAACUGAUAUAUUCCCCCAGUAGCGGCGAGCGAAAAGGGAUCAGCCCAAAUCCCGGUUUCUAUUGAAUUUAUUUAAUGGAGACCGGGAGGUUGUAAGAUAAUAGCGCUCGGAGCGAUCCGAAGGAGCAAAAAGUUGCGAUUUAUUUAGAAGAACGGCCCUGGAAAGGCCGGCCAAAGAGGGUGAAAGCCCCGUAUUUGAAAAAUAUUGCAUGCUCCUAGUUAUUAUCCCGACGUAAAGUCGGGACCCCGACUUCAUUGUUAGAUUUCUAAUAGUGCGUCGGGGUUCUUGAGUACUGCCCCGUAUGGAGACUGGGCAGGAAGCAGGCGGAACUAGUCCGCCAAGGCUAAAUACUCCCGGAACACCGAUAGUGAACAAGUACCGUGAGGGAAAGGUGAAAAGCAGCCCGGUGAGGGCGGUGAAAUAGUACCUGAAACCAUAUGCUUACAAGGACACAAAGGAGAUCAGAGAUCGGAAAUCAGAAGUCGGAACUAAAAUUCUGAUUUCCGACAUCCGACCUCUGAUCUCUGCUGUGGUGCCUAUUGAAGAAUGAGCCAACGAGUUUUUGGAUACUGCUUGACUAAGUGCCGCGAGGCACCGAGUCGUAGGGAAACCGAGUGUUAAUAGCGCGUUUUCAAUAGCUUUCUAGCUUUUUAGCUUCUUAGCUUUUUAGGUGCGAGUUUAUUUUCGUUCCUAGGAAGCUAGGAAGCUAUAAGCUAAGAAGCUUUUGUAGGUAGUAUUCAAAAGACCCGAAGCCAGAUGAGCUUGCCAUGGGCAGGGUGAACCCCGAGUAACAUCGGGGGGAGGCCCGAACCGGUGGGUCGUUCAACGCCUUCGGAUGACCUGUGGUAAGGAGUGAAAAGCUAAUCGAAUCUGGUAAUAGCUGGUUCUCUUCGAAAUAGCUUUUGGGCUAGCCUUGGAUUAUACGAUACGCGAGGUAGAGCUACUGGAUGGUUCGUAAGGGCGAAAGCUCGGCGAACCAACCAAACUCCGAAUGCGCGUAUAGUUAUUCCAAGAGUCAGCAGGUGGGGGCUAAGCUCCAUCGUGCAAGAGGGCAACAGCCCAGAUCGUCAGCUAAGGUCCCUAAAUCAACGCUAAGUGUAAUAAGGCGGUGGAGUUUCUCAAACAGCGAGGAGGUUGGCUUAGAAGCAGCCACCCUUUAAAGAGUGCGUAACAGCUCACUCGUCUAGAGACACUGCACCAAAGAUACUCGGGGCUAAGCGUUGUACCGAAGCUACGGGCUUGCGCAACUUCGAAUUUCUAACUUCUAAUUUCUAAUAAAAAUUAAGAGUUAGCGGUUGGCAAUUGGCAGUUGCGCAAGCAGUAGAAGAGCAUUCUUAAUGCAGUGAAGGUUGACCCGCGAGGGCGACUGGAGCGUUAAGAAGAGAGAAUGUUGGCACAAGUAACCGCAAGUCCGGUGAAAGCCCGGACCGCCGAAAACCCAAGGUUUCCUCAGCAAUGGCAAUCAACUGAGGGUUAGUCGGUCCUAAGGCAAUGGCGAAAGCCGUAGCUGAUGGACAGCUGGUUAAUAUUCCAGCACCGCAUGUUGUUUUGAUGGCGUAACGGAACGCAGUAUGCAAAGCGAAUUAUUGGAUUUUCGUUCUUAGCGUAAGGAACGUGGAUAGGAAAAUCCGUCCAUGGAGGUAAUGCUCGGUUCCAAGCGCGGAGAAAAUCUUUUGGAGCAAUCCAUUAGAAAUUUUGCAAAGCGCGUUUCCCAGAAAACCGUCUAAAAUAUCAGCAUGCGACCGUACCGUAAACCGACACAGGUGGGUUGGUGGAGAACACUAAGGCGAAUGGGUGAUUCCUCGUUAAGGAACUCGGCAAAAAAGCGACCGUAAGUUCGCAAUAAGGUCUGCCCCGGCCCGCAAGGGCUUAGGGGCUGCAACAAAAGUACCCCUGGCGACUGUUUACCAAAAACACAGCUCCCCGCUAACUCGUAAGAGGAUGUAUGGGGGGUGACGCCUGACCAAUGCGAGAAGGUUAAAUACCUUGGUCGCGGGGCGACCUCGAUUAGUUUAUAGUUUUUAGUUCUAGGUUCCGGCCUAGCGGCCUCCUAAGUUUAAGUUUUUAGUUUAAUGUUUAGGUUAACGUUAACUUAAACUAAUCACUUUUAACUUAAACUCAAAACUUUUAACUACAAACUUAUAAACAUACGAGGCCGCCUCGCGGCUCUAGGUAUCAAGCCCUCGUCAAUGUCGGCCCUAACUAUAAGGGUCUUAAAGUAGAAAGCGCGCUGCUUUAAUAAAAUCUGGUCCCGAUGCACUAUUUAUAAAAUAAUCAUAGUGUAAAAUCGGGAUCCCGACUUCUUCAUCCUAAUUUUUAGAUGAAACGUCGGGACUAUAUGCUGGAAAGUCUGGAGUAUCUGGCACUACUAAGGUAUAAUUAUCCUUAGGGGAUAAAAUCUUCUAAAAUUAUGCCAAGUAAAAAUGUGUCCAGUGCAGAUAAUCAGCAGGAAAGGCAAGAUUAUUAUUUGGGAUGGAUAACUGGUUUUGUAGACGGAGAAGGAUGUUUCUCUGUAGGAGUCUUUCGUAAUAGGAUUCUUAAAAAUGGAUGGCAGGUUUUUCCGGAGUUUGUGGUAACGCAAGGUGAAAAAAGUUUAUUCGCUCUUGAAGAAUUACAAAAAUUCUUCGGCUGCGGAAAAAUUUUCAUCAAUAAGCGUUACGAUAAUCACCGUGAACCGCUAUAUCGUUAUUGUGUUAGGUCUACGAAAGAUAUACGUGAGAAAAUAAUUCCUUUCUUUCAGAAAUAUCCGCUCCGUACUGCAAAACAAAGUGACUUCAAACGAUUCAUAAAAAUUCUUGAUAUGAUGGAACGGAAAAUCCAUCUAACCAAGAAGGGUAUGAAAGAAAUUGCGAGGACAGUAGAGCAAAUGAAUCGUAAGAAACCAUCUCAAUAUCUUGAAUCCUCAGAGACUAUACGCCAGAACAACAGAUAUCAGACAUCGGAUAUUGGAAGUCGGAAGCAUUCUGACUUCUGAUUUCCAACACCUGACUUCUGUUUGUAAGAUAUAGUCCGAUCUCUAUGGCGACAUAGAGGAUCCGAGCACUCAAUUUUGGAUUAUUUAAAAAUGCCACCGGCGGUGGCGAAAUCACAUGAUAAGUUUGAUGACCGGAGCGUUAUGGUUAACGUAUCCUGGAGCCAAAGAUUUUACGGACAGCACGUUAAUGCGUCCAUGAGUGGUGAUCCUACGAAAAACCUCAAGCUGUACAGCAUCGAUGGGUGAAGGGAUACCGUUCCUGGUUGGGAUAUGGUUUGGGAGAACAAAAUGAUCCCCAAUCUCCAAGUCCUUGAACUUCAUGUUUACCUCCAGUAGGUAGAACGUACCAUAUUCAACAUAACCAAUUUUGACAAUUUUGUCAAAUCCAAAAUUGAGUGCUCGGUGAUAACGUAAUUGAGCGCAAUUCCUUUUCAGGUAAGUUCUGAAGCGCACGAAAGGCGUAACGACUAGGGGACUGUCUCAACGAGGAGCCCGGUGAAAAUACAAUUCCGGUGAAGAUGCCGGAUACCUGUGGUUAGACGAAAAGACCCCAGAAGCUUUACUGCAACUUGAUAUUGGGUUUAGAACUUUGAUGCGUAGCAUAGGUGGCAGGCUUUGAUUCUUGGUUUCCGGAUCAAGAGGAGCCGUCAGUGAAAUACCACUCUUUGAAGUUUUAAAUUCUAACCGGUUGGGAACACCGCAGUGUUCACACGACAGUUUUAAGUUUAAAGUUUCGGUUGCUCUGGCAACCUGUAAGUUUAGGUUGUAAGUUUUUGGUUUAGGUUAAACAUUAACUUAAACUAACAACUCACAACCUUAACAAUAAACUUUUAACCUUAAACUUAACUGUGGGCUUCGCGGUGAAGCCCAACUGGAACAGUGUCUGGUGGGCAGUUUUGGUGGGGCACUACACUCCCAAAAAGUAAUGGAGUGGUCUAUUAAGGUCGGCUUACCCCGGAUGGAAAUCGGGGUGGACGUGUAAAGGCACAAGCCGGCUUGACUGCAAGGGGGAUAUCCCGCGCAGGUGCGAAAGCAGAGCUUAGUGAACCGAUGGCCAUGGUAAUUAUUCACGCUUCGGAUUCAGUUCCGAGGUGUGGGUAUUUAUCGCUUUCUAGAACAAGGCCAAAGAUUAUCAGACAAAAGCUACUCUGGGGAUAACAGGCUAGUUCCGCCCAAGAGUUCAUAUCGACGGCGGAGUUCGGCACCUCAACAAUAGUUUAUUAGUUAGCUAGUUCUCUGGUUAACUAGUUUGCACGUGACUGGCCAUCACGAUCAUCGGGGUGCUGCAGGAGUAAUCCUGCAUAAAAAUCUCGCUAAUAUCGGUGAAAUCCUAUUGAGUUUUUGAACCAAAUUUGAUAGGAUAAUACCGAGGGAAGUUAUGCAUAUGAAAGAAGAAUUACAAUUAAACAACCAAGAACUUCUGAAUCAAUUGGAAGAAAAUAAUCUUUUGUUGAGCGAGGCAUCGUCAAGGCUCGUUGCACGACUUCAACAAUUGGAAGACCCGAUUGGUCGUAGAAAUUGGACUGAUGCGGAGAUUGAUUCAGGGAAACGACCGGUUGAUAUUAUUGAAACUGAAAUUCAGCAAGCUAUUCAAGAUGUCGCUAAGUUUGCUGAAACCAGAGCUUCUAUAAAAAAAGCAUUAACCCCGUAGAGACUUUUCCGAAUAAAGUUCGGAAAGAUAUUUUGCUUUAAGCAAAAUAUAAUACGCGAGCUCCUUCCGCAGGCAUGCAGGGGGAUGAAGAUAUAGUCCAUGCCUCUAGUAAUAGAGGAAAUUCGCAAUUCGUAUCAUUCGCAUGCCAUUCGUAUAUUGGUAUCGCGUUGUGAGCGAAGCGAACAUACGAUGUCGGCUCGACUUAUCCUGGGGCUGGAGAAGGUCCCAAGGGUUCGGCUGUUCGCCGAUUAAAAAGUCACGCGAGCUGGGUUCAGACCGUCGUGAGACAGGUUGGUCUCCUAUCUACCACAGGCGUUGAUACUUGAGAGGGGUCGUCCCUAGUAAAGUAUUGCUACUUCGCGCAGUAAUGCGCGAUGACAAUUUGGCUAAUAACGGUCCCUAAUCCCGCUAAAAGCGGGACGGGAUGGCGGCCGAGUCAAACUCGGCUUAGCCAUGGAUGCUUUAGUUUGCGAAGAAAUCUCGCGGUCCGAGAACUUCGAUCAAACAUACUAAAGUUAAUACCGUGGGAAGUCAAUUGACAAAAAAAUGCUCCCGGGAAGUCAGGAGCAAUGGUUGAUGAUACCGCCUAUAAAAGGCUUGGUAUUAAAAUAGACUCAUAACACCUUGGACAGUGAAAAUGGUGGUUAAAACCAGAAUGAUCCUUAUAAUAUCCGUCAUAUCUGAGAUCUGACUGUUUUGCUUUAAAGCCACACUUAUCGCAGGUAAUCCAUGGUGUCUUAAUCGUUGAAUAGAACAUGUCAACGACCAACUCUCGGGCCAUGAGUCCUCCUUUCAUUUCGGCGAUAUCAUUAUUACAUGAUAUACUAGAAUUUGUCAAUAUGACCCCGUAACGACUUGUUCCCGGCAUUGCCGGGACGGAUAGUCAAGAAAAUUCUUGAUUAUAAUAUGCCGAUGCCCGACUUUAGAUCAAAAUCCAAAGGGGCAAAGAUAUAGUCUACACUUCUAGUGAUAGAAGAAAAUGUGACGAGAGGACCGGGAUGAACGAACCUCUGGUGUACCAGCUGUUCCGCCAGGAGCACCGCUGGGUAGCUAUGUUCGGUUGUGAUAAGCGCUGAAAGCAUAUAAGUGCGAAGCACGCCUCAAGAUUAGGUAUCGAACUAGCGGACUUCAGAUUUCAGAAAUCAGACGUCAGAACUUUUCUGAUUUCCGAUCUCCGAUUUCUGAUGUCCGCUAGUAUUAGAUCCGUAGAAGAUGACUACGUUGAUAGGUCGCAGGUGUAAGCGCAGCAAUGCGUUUAGCCGAGCGAUACUAAUAGAUCAUUAAUUACCUGCC
rnacentral:rRNA from 1 species